CCCUUAGAUGUUCUGGGCCGCACGCGCGCUACACUGAUGCAUUCAACGAGCCUAUCCUUGACCGACAGGUCCGGGUAAUCUUUGAAUCUGCAUCGUGACGGGGAUAGAUUAUUGCAAUUAUUAAUCUUCAACGAGGAAUGCCUAGUAAGCGCAAGUCAUCAGCUUGCGUUGAUUACGUCCCUGCCCUUUGUACACACCGCCCGUCGCUCCUACCGAUUGAAUGGUCCGGUGAAGCGCUCGGACCGCGGCCUCUUGACGGUUCGCUGUCGAUUGGCUGUGGGAAGUUCGUUAAACCUUAUCAUUUAGAGGAAGGAGAAGUCGUAACA
rnacentral:rRNA from 1 species